UCUCAAUGAGGAUAGAACUGGCAUCUAUCGCCCAACGAGGAGAUGUGAGGUAUUGUCACUCACCAUUGAGA
rnacentral:ncRNA from 12 species